AGAAGACUGAGGUAAAGUGGGACAGGCACAGGGUGGGCCAACCAAAUGAGAGACAGAGGUAAAGUGGGACAGACACAGGGUGGACCCACCAAACCAGAGACGGAGGUAAAGUGGGACAGACACAGGGUGGGCCAACCAAACCAGAGACGGAGGUAAAGUGGGACAGACACAGGGUGGACCAACCAAACCAGAGACGGAGGUAAAGUGGGACAGACACAGGGUGGACCAACCAAACCAGAGACGGAGGUAAAGUGGGACAGAGACAGGGUGGACCAACCAAACGAGAGACGGAGGUAAAGUGGGACAGACACAGGGUGGACCAACCAAACCAGAGACGGAGGUAAAGUGGGGCAGAGACAGGGUGGACCAACCAAACGAGAGACAGAGGUAAAGUGGGCCAGACACAGGGUGGGUCAAAACAAGAGACGGAUGUAAAAUGGGACAGGCACAGGGUGGACCCACCAAACGAGAGACGGAGGUAAAGUGGGACAGACACAGGGUGGGCCAACCAAACCAGAGACGGAGGUAAAGUGGGACAGGCACAGGGUGGGCCAACCAAACCAGAGACGGAGGUAAAGUGGGACAGGCACAGGGUGGGCCAACCAAAC